rnacentral:rRNA from 1 species
UACGAAGGUGGCAAGCGUUGUUCGGAUUUACUGGGCGUAAAGGGAGCGUAGGUGGUUAGGUAAGCCCUCCGGGAAAUCUUCAGGCUUAACCUGAAAAGGUCGGGGGGGGGACUGCCUAGCUAGAGGACGGGAGAGGAGCGCGGAAUUCCUGGUGUAGCGGUGAAAUGCGCAGAUAUCAGGAAGAACACCCGUGGCGAAGGCGGUUCUCUGGGACGGUACUGACGCUGAGACGCGAAAGCGUGGGGAGCGAACAGG